rnacentral:rRNA from 1 species
UACGAAGGGGACUAGCGUUGUUCGGAAUUACUGGGCGUAAAGCGCACGUAGGCGGAUUCGUAAGUCAGGGGUGAAAUCCCGGGGCUCAACCUCGGAACUGCCUUUGAUACUGCGGAUCUCGAGUCCGAUAGAGGGUGGGUGGAAUUCCUAGUGUAGAGGUGAAAAUUCGUAGAUAUUAGGAAGAACACCGGUGGCGAAGGCGGCCCACUGGAUCGGUACUGACGCUGAGGUGCGAAAGCGUGGGGAGCAAACAGGAUUAGAUACCCGGUGGUAAGUCC